GACCAACGCUGGCGGUAUGCCUAACACAUGCGAGUCGAACGGACAGAACAGGGAAGCUUUUCGGAGUGGAACUGGAAAGUUAGUGGCGGAUGGGUGAGUAACGCGUGGACAACCUACCUUGUAAAGGGGAAUAACCUCGAGAAAUCGAAGCUAAUACCCCAUAAUAACCUUGCUUCGCAUGAAGUAAGGAGGAAAGGCGGCCUUAGCGCUGUCGAUACAAGAUGGGUCCGCGUCUGAUUAGCUAGUUGGUGAGGUAAAGGCUCACCAAGGCGACGAUCAGUAGCCGGCCUGAGAGGGUGAACGGCCACAUUGGGACUGAGACACGGCCCAAACUCCUACGGGAGGCAGCAGUGGGGAAUCUUCCGCAAUGGGCGAAAGCCUGACGGAGCAAUGCCGCGUGAGUGAAGAAGGCCUUCGGGUUGUAAAACUCUGUCCUUAUCGAAGAGAGAGUGUUGUAGUAACUGACAAUACUAGGACGGUAGAUGAGGAGGAAGCCCCGGCUAACUAUGU
rnacentral:rRNA from 1 species